rnacentral:misc_RNA from 1 species
UUUCCGUAGGUGAACCAGCGGAAGGAUCAUUAUUGAAUAAACCUGAUGUGGUUGUAGCUGGCCCUUUCGUGAGCAUGUGCACACCCGUCGUCUUUAUCUUUCCACCUGUGCACCUGUUGUAGACCUGGAUGUAACACUUUCCGAGGCAACUCGGUCGGGGGGAAUGCUGUCAGCUUUCCUUGAAUGUCCAGGCCUAUGUUUUCAUAUACCCCAAAGAAUGUAACAGAAUGUAUUAUUGGGCCUUGUGCCUAUAAACUAUAUACAACUUUCAGCAACGGAUCUCUUGGCUCUU